UCCUUGUCACGGAGAGUGGGGACACAAAACACUUUUACUUCCACAGCCUGGCCCUCCUGCCACCUGAACUUACCAGCAUGUCCACCUUCAGGUUUAUUCUUUUCUACAACUGCCUUGUAUGGCUGUUUCUCACCCAGAGACUAUGGUUAGGUGUCUCCUGGCUCCCUGGCUUGUUUUCAGAGCUCCAGAGCAGAACUCGCCCACUUGCUGGAGAUCAGCUGUGUAUCCUGGAGGCUCUAACCCUGAGCUUCUUCGGUGAGAGGAGGAGAUACAGAUAUCACCGCAGAGCUGAAGGCCGACUUGCUGUGCUGCUGAUGUUUGUGCUGCUGAUGUGAGGCUGGACUUCAUUACUGUGUU